UACAGAGGUCCCAAGCGUUACUGAGAAUCACUGGGUUUAAAGGGUGCGUAGGUGGUCCGUUAAGUCAGUUGUGAAAUCCCCGGGCUCAACCCGGGAACUGCUUCUGAUACUGGCGGACUUGAGGCCAGUAGAGGUCACUGGAACUGACGGUGGAGCGGUGAAAUGCGUAGAUAUCAAGAGAAACACCUGAGGUGAAGUCGGGUUGCUGGGCCGACACUGACGCUGAGUGCGCGAAAGCCAGGGGAGCAAACGGG
rnacentral:rRNA from 1 species